rnacentral:rRNA from 1 species
UACGAGGCAUGCAAGCGUUAUCCGGAAUUAUUGGGCGUAAAGCGUUUGUAGGCGGGCGAGUGUGUUUAAUGUUAAAUCUUAAAGCUCAACUUUGAAAUUGCGUUAAAAACUGCUUGUCUUGAGUAUGGUAGGGGUAAAGGGAAUUCCCAGUGUAGCGGUGAAAUGCGUAGAUAUUGGGAAGAACACUAAACAGCGAAGGCACUUUACUAGGCUAAUACUGACGCUGAGAAACGAAAGGUAAGGUAGCGAAACGGAUUAGAUACCCGUGUAGUCUUACCCGUAAACUAUGGACACUAAACGGUAAAUUUUUAAUUUACUGUUAAAGCUAACGCGUUAAGUGUCCCGCCUGGGGAGUAUGCUUGCAAAAGUGAAACUCAAAGGAAUUGACGGGGGCCCGCACAAGCGGUGGAGCAUGUGGUUUAAUUCGACGGUACACGAAGAACCUUACCAGGAUUUGACAUGCUAGAUAGUUGCUUGAAAGAGUAACGUGCCGUAAGGAAUCUAGACACAGGUGGUGCAUGGCUGUCGUCAGUUCGUGUUGUGAAAUGUUGGGUUAAGUCCCGCAACGAACGCAACCCUUGUCUUUAGUUAUUUUCUAAAGAGACUGCCUGUAAUAAACAGGAGGAAGGUAAGGAUGAGGUCAAGUCAUCAUGCCCCUUAUGUCCUGGGCUACACACGUGCUACAAUGGGAAAGACAAUGAGCUGCAAAUCUGUAAAUUUAAGCAAAUCUCUUAAACUUUCUCGUAGUUCGGAUCGUGGGCUGCAACUCGCCCACAUGAAGUUGGAAUCGCUAGUAAUCGCCAGUCAGCUAUAUGGCGGUGAAUCCGUUCCCGGGCCU